ACAGCCGCCGCGGUAAGACAGAGGGUGCAAACGUUGCUCGGAAUCACUGGGCGUAAAGGGCGUGUAGGCGGGAAGGAAAGUCAGAUGUGAAAUCCCUGGGCUCAACCCAGGAACUGCAUUUGAAACUCCCUUUCUUGAGUGUCGGAGAGGAAAGUGGAAUUCCUGGUGUAGAGGUGAAAUUCGUAGAUAUCAGGAGGAACACCGGUGGCGAAGGCGGCUUUCUGGACGACAACUGACGCUGAGACGCGAAAGCGUGGGGAGCAAACAGGAUUAGAUACCCUGGUAGUCCACGCUGUAAACGAUGAACACUAGGUGUCGUGGGUAUUGACCCCCGCGGUGCCGCAGCUAACGCAUUAAGUGUUCCGCCUGGGAAGUACGGUCGCAAGACUAAAACUUAAAGGAAUUGGCGGGGG
rnacentral:rRNA from 1 species